AUUGAACGCUGGCGGCAUGCCUUAUACAUGCAAGUCGAACGGUAACGCGGGGCGAUCUGGCGACGGGUGUUGGAGGGGUGAGUAAUGCUACCGCAUGGGUCCCCUACUGGUGGAUAGGGCGUCGAAAGGCGGAUCAAUACCGCAUGCGACCUGAGGGUGAGAACGGGGGGGUGCAAGAGCUCACGCCGUUGUUGCGGUCGCUGUUAGAUUAGCUAGUUGGUGAGGUAAAGGCCUACCAAGGCGACGAUCUGUAGCGGGUCUGAGAGGACGAGCAGCCACACUGGGACUGAGACACGGCCCAGACUCCUACGGGAGGCAGCAGUGGGGAAUUUUGGACAAUGGGCGCAAGCCUGAUCCAGCCACGCCGCGUGAGGGAAGAAGGCCUUCGGGUUGUAAAACGCUUUUGUCAGGGAAGAAACGCUCUGGGCUAAUACCCUGGGGUAAUGACGGUACCUGAAGAAUAAGCACCGGCUAACUACGUG
rnacentral:rRNA from 1 species